rnacentral:rRNA from 1 species
AUUGAACGCUGGCGGCAGGCCUAACACAUGCAAGUCGAACGAGUCGCGGACGGGUGAGUAAUGUCUGGGACACUGCCUGAUGGGGGGGUAAAACUUCUAAAAACGGUAGAUAAUACCGCAUACCCUGGUAUGUGCCCAGAUGGGAGUAGCUAGUAGGUGGGGUAAAGGCUCACCUAGGCGACGAUCCCUAGCUGGUCUGAGAGGAUGACCAGCCACACUGGAACUGAGACACGGUCCAGACUCCUACGGGAGGCAGCAGUGGGGAAUAUUGCACAAUGGGCGCAAGCCUGAUACAGCCAUGCCGCGUGUAUGAAGAAGGCCUUCGGGUUGUAAAGUACUUUCAGCGGGGAGGCGUUACCCGCAGAAGAAGCACCGGCUAACUCCGUGCCAGCAGCCGCGGUAAUUC